UGGGGAAUUUUGGACAAUGGGCGAAAGCCUGAUGCAGCCAUGCCGCGUGUGUGAAGAAGGCCUUCGGGUUGUAAAGCACUUUCAGCGAGGAGGAAGGUGGUGAGCUUAAUACGCUCAUCAAUCGACGUUACUCGCAGAAGAAGCACCGGCUAACUCCGUGCCAGCAGCCGCGGUAAUACGGAGGGGUGCAAGCGUUAAUCGGAAUUACUGGGCGUAAAGCGCACGCAGGCGGUUUGUUAAGUCAGAUGUGAAAUCCCCGGGCUCAACCUGGGAACUGCAUUUGAAACUGGCAAGCUAGAGUCUCGUAGAGGGGGGUAGAAUUCCAGGUGUAGCGGUGAAAUGCGUAGAGAUCUGGGGGAAUACCGGUGGCGAAGGCGGCCCCCUGGACGAAGACUGACGCUCAGGUGCGAAAAGGCGUGGGGGAGCAAACAGGAUUAGAUACCCUGGUAGUCCACGCUGUAAACGAUGUCGAUUUGGAGGUUGUGCCCCUUGAGGCGUGGCUUCCGGAGCUAACGCGUUAAAUCGACCGCCUGGGGGAGUACGGCCGCAAGGUUAAAAACUU
rnacentral:rRNA from 1 species